rnacentral:misc_RNA from 1 species
GGUUUUCUUAUCUGUACCAUGGUUAAUAAUGGAGUACCCUUUGUUGAGGGAUAAUUCGAGUUUCCAUUUGGAUUUCGUGAUUUUUGGUACCAAUUCAUUCUGUGCUUUUGCUUUGAAUCUUGCGGUGUUUUUACUGGUGGGCAAGACAUCUGCUUUGACAAUGAAUGUUGCUGGAGUAGUGAAGGAUUGGCUAUUGAUUGCAUUCUCCUGGUCUGUGAUUAAGGAUACGGUGACACCCAUUAAUUUGUUCGGUUAUGGGCUUGCCUUCUUAGGAGUUGCGUAUUACAACCAUUCAAAGUUGCAGGCACUCAAAGCCGCAGAGGGUCAGAAGAAGGCUCAGCAGGCAGACGAGGAAGCUGGUAGGUUGUUGGAGGAGAGGGAAGAAGGGAAUGAAAGGAAGGUUGAUAGUCAAAAUUAGGCUACUGACAUGCUUGAGCUUUUACGAGGAGACAUGCAGAAGAGAACAGAUCGAUGAUGUUUAACAGUAGCUG